AGAGUUUGAUCCUGGCUCAGGACGAACGCUUGCGGCGUGCUUAACACAUGCAAGUCGAACGAUGAAGCCUAGCUUGCUAGGUGGAUUAGUGGCGAACGGGUGAGUAAUACGUGAGUAACCUACCUUUAACUCUGGGAUAAGCCUGGGAAACUGGGUCUAAUACCGGAUACGACCAAUCUCCGCAUGGGGUGUUGGUGGAAAGCGUUAUGUAGUGGUUAUAGAUGGGCUCACGGCCUAUCAGCUUGUUGGUGAGGUAACGGCUCACCAAGGCGACGACGGGUAGCCGGCCUGAGAGGGUGACCGGCCACACUGGGACUGAGACACGGCCCAGACUCCUACGGGAGGCCGCCGUGUGGAUAUUGCGCACUGGGCGCUUGCCAGAUGCAGCGACGCCGCGUGAGGGAUGACUGUCUACUGGUUGUNNNCCUCUGUUNGCCGGGNNGNNGNGNNNUUGNCGGUCCCUGCNGNGNNNGCGCCGGCUNNCUNCGUGCCNGCCGCCGCGGUNNUNCGUNGGGCGCGNGCGUUGUCCGGNNUUNUUGGGCGUNNNGNGCUUGUNGGCGGUUUGUCGCGUCUGCUGUGNNNGGCCGGGGCUUNNCCCCGUGUNUUGCCGUGGGUNCGGGCCGNCUNGNGUGCCGUNGGGGNGNCUGGNNCUCCUGGUGUNGCGGUGGNNUGCGCNGNUNUCUGGNNGNNCCCCGCUGGCGCCGGCCGGUCUCUGGGCUGUAACUGACGCUGGGAAGUGAAAGCAAGGGGAGAGAACAGGAUCAGAUACCCUGGUAGUCCAUGCCCGUAAACGGUGGGCACUAAGGGGGGGGGACAUUCCACGUUUUCCGCGCCGUAGCUUACGCAUUAAGUGCCCCGCCUGGGGAGUACGGCCGCAAGGCUAAAACUCAAAGAAAUUGACGGGGGCCCGCACAGGCGGCGGAGCAUGCGGAUUAAUUCGAUGCAACGCGAAGAACCUUACCAAGGCUUGACAUAUACUGGACCGCAUCAGAGAUGGUGUUUCCCUUCGGGGCUGGUAUACAGGUGGUGCAUGGUUGUCGUCAGCUCGUGUCGUGAGAUGUUGGGUUAAGUCCCGCAACGAGCGCAACCCUCGUUCUAUGUUGCCAGCACGUUAUGGUGGGGACUCAUAGGAGACUGCCGGGGUCAACUCGGAGGAAGGUGGGGAUGACGUCAAAUCAUCAUGCCCCUUAUGUCUUGGGCUUCACGCAUGCUACAAUGGCCGGUACAGAGGGUUGCGAUACUGUGAGGUGGAGCUAAUCCCUAAAAGCCGGUCUCAGUUCGGAUUGGGGUCUGCAACUCGACCCCACGAAGUCGGAGUCGCUAGUAAUCGCAGAUCAGCAACGCUGCGGUGAAUACGUUCCCGGGCCUUGCACUCACCGCCCGUCAAG
rnacentral:rRNA from 1 species